UCUGGUAAAAUACUGCACAAACUAUCACUAAGUGGAGAUUAUAACUAAUUAUUUCCUUCAUCUAGCUCAUCAGGUAUGGAGGACCACAAGAGCCACGCGCAUCGAAAUAAAAAAUUCUGUGAUUAAUUUUAAUAAACUGAUUUUUAAAAUGCUUUUCAAGUCUUCAUUUCAAAAAACAUUUUCGAAUUGCACUUUAAUAAACUGCAUUUCAAAAUCCAUUUCCCUUUCCUGUUCGCUCAGGGAUUAACAUGUGGAUUAGCAGUUGGAUUAACAACUUCAUUUUAAAAAUCCUGCUGCUAUUCAAAUUAGCCACACCGUGGGAUGUAAGGAGCUCUCUGAUUGGUUGGUCAGACACAGGCUGCCAGCCUGGAUUUUUCUAGCUCAUAGCUUCGCCCUGCUAAGAAGCGUGUGUGCUUGUACAAAGGCCGUUCAGCCUCGGGAUUUACUCUCGGCUCGACACGGAUAUGUGAAGAAUGAAGGGACCCUGCAGCGAAACGGAGAGCUCAACAUCUGAGUGCCUGUUUACUCAGUCUGACCACCUGUUGAAGGGCUGUUUGAUGACGAUUUGGACUCCUCUGGGAGAUGAGGACACACCCACAUCUGUUCCAUACUGCAGCCAUGGAUGGUGUUACAGCUCUGAGUCAGCUUUAGGCCAUCAGACGCACACACUGGAAAACCAGCACCUGGUCUUCAUGCAGGAGAGACGGCCUCAGUGAUGAUGGACUCUGCAUCCUCUACUUUACCUCCUAAUCUCUUUCUCUUUAACACACAAUUAAAAUCACUCCAAAAGAGUGUAAACUUACUGAGGAAGUCUCUAACUUGUACACAUUUGUACUUUUACUUGUUUUAUGAGUUAUUUUUAAGAAGAGUAAAGUUAUUCACAUAAAGUUUUUAUUCUUCUGUAUUUAUUCUUUUGUAUCAUGUACCACAGUCAUACUGAACUUUACAGACCUGGUGAAUUGGGGGAAAAAGUCAUUCAUAUAUAUAUAUAUAUAUAUACACACACACACACACGCACAUGAAUGUUUAGAUUCGGGAGACAGACACUAUCUCUACUUUUAAGAUUAGGCUUCAAACUUUCCUUUUUGCUAAAGCAUAUAGUUAGGGCUGGACCAGGUGACCCUGAAUCCUCCCUUAGCUAUGCUGCAAUAGACGUAGGCUGCUGGGGAUUCCCAUGAUGCAUCGAGUUUUUCCUUUCCAGUCACCUUCUCACUCAGUAUGUGUUAAUAGACCUCUCUGCAUCGAAUCAUACUUGUUAUUAAUCUCUGUCUCUCUUCCACAGCAUGUCUUUAUCCUGUUUUCCUUCUCUCACCCCAACCAAUCACAGCAGAUGGCCCCGCCCCUCCCUGAGCCUGGUUCUGCCGGAGGUUUCUUCCUGUUAAAAGGGAGUUUUUCCUUCCCACUGUCGCCAAAGUGCUUGCUCAUAGGGGGUCAUAUGAUAUGAUUGUUGGGUUUUUCUCUGUAUUUAAUAUUGUGCUAUCUACUGUACAAUAUAAAGCGCCUUGAGGCGACUUUUGUUGUGAUUUGGCGCUAUAUAAAUAAAAUUGAAUUGAAUGAA